GAUGAACGCUGGCGGCGUGCUUAACACAUGCAAGUCGAACGGAAAGGCCCAAGCUUGCUUGGGUACUCGAGUGGCGAACGGGUGAGUAACACGUGGGUGAUCUGCCCUGCACUUCGGGAUAAGCCUGGGAAACUGGGUCUAAUACCGGAUAGGACCACAUUUUGGAUGGUGUGGUGGAAAGUUUUUCGGUGUGGGAUGAGCUCGCGGCCUAUCAGCUUGUUGGUGGGGUAAAGGCCUACCAAGGCGUCGACGGGUAGCCGGCCUGAGAGGGUGUACGGCCACAUUGGGACUGAGAUACGGCCCAGACUCCUACGGGAGGCAGCAGUGGGGAAUAUUGCACAAUGGGCGCAAGCCUGAUGCAGCGACGCCGCGUGGGGGAUGACGGCCUUCGGGUUGUAAACUCCUUUCGCUAGGGACGAAGCGUUAUGUGACGGUACCUGGAGAAGAAGCACCGGCUAACUACGUG
rnacentral:rRNA from 1 species